CCUCAUCAAAACCUUACCUGAGAAAAUUCAAAGGAAAAACAAGGACCGGCGUAUACUCACGAUUGAUGGAUUUUUGGGUACGGAGUACGUCCUUCAUUUUUGGAUACAGACGGUUGACUUACGUGACCAAGUUAACCCACUUUAAAAAUUCCUUUUUCCGAUCAGAGUUAAACUUGUCGCCUAUUAAACACUCAUUCCAAUCCUUCG
rnacentral:lncRNA from 1 species